rnacentral:lncRNA from 1 species
UUUGCUUUUUUUUUUUUUUUUGAGGCGGAGUAUCACUCUGUUGCCCAGGCUGGAGUGCAAUGGCGUGAUCUCGGCUCACUGCAACCUCUGCCUCCCAGGUUCAAGAGAUUCUUCUGCCUCAGCCUCCCAAGUAGCUGGCACUGCAGACACGCACCACCACACCCAGAAUAGUGAAAUAAGGUGGCCAAGGAGGCAGAGAUGGAGUCAGGGACUCUGUGAUCAACCCUGAGGAUUGGGAAGGAACUAUACAUACCAGGAGGCAAGGAGCACUGGGGGCCCUCCUGGGACUGCCUGUCACAGCGUCCUCAAAG